AUCAAUUUUAAUAUAGCAUAACACUACAAUAUAUAAAUCUUUUCUUGUCAAUGAUAAAAAAAAAAAAAAAAAGUAAAGAUAGAUCCCUCGUAGCAUGAAAUAAAAGCCUAAACAGCCUACGGAACUAAAUAAACUGGGUAAAAAAGUAGCCCAAAACAAAAAAAGUGAUUUAAAAAGAAAUUAAAAUAAAAGAAAACAAACAUGUUGCCCUCUAAAGCUAACAAAAUUACAAACAUCAGUAUUAACUGAGAGAAAUUAAGCUUCAAUAUGUAUAGCGAGAUUCACAUGAAGAGAUUAAACUGUAUGGGUGGUAAUAAAAGGAAAUGAAAAAUCCUCUGCACCGUAUGAAACUCUGUUAUACACGCUUCUUAAAUUCUUUAAUAGAAUUCUCGACAGCAAUGAAUAGAAACUAGAAAAGAGAAUAUUUUCUUUAAUUAUAACUAUUAAAAAGAAAUAGGAAAUUAAAUUCUAUGUGUAUGCAUGUAUAAACUUUCCUUGUCAUCCUGCCCUUUGAGCAACCCAUUUUCCAGAGAGAAUGUGGAGGCAUAAUCCAAACUUUGAAAUUAAACUCUCAUCUAAUCGGUCAAUGUGGAUGGAACAUCUUAUGCUUCACACACUCAAAUUGGACAUUAAGUAGUACAAGCUCAACUCAAAGUAGUCAUAACGAAUAUUCACCAAUUGAUAAAUCUAAAUGACCUAGUUAAUUAAUUGGAAAUUUUGGAUAGGAGGAUGCGAGUAAUUUUCGGUAAAUGAAAAGAUAGUUAAAGGGGGAAGGGCAAUAUUAGGAAUUUUGAUAUAUAAGAUGGGUAGAGGGAAAAGGGAAAGAAAGGAAUGCAUUUAAGGAAACUGGGGUGGGAAAAUCAAAUGAAGAAAUAGAAGGGAAAAUACCCGCAGUUAAGGCAGAGAUUUGCGAAUCCGGCGGAUCCCAGAGGCCAUCCUUUGGUCCAGUGUAGGGAGGUGGGGGCUGGGCAAGACGUGUUCAUGCAGCGGUUGGAGGCCAUAGAAGUGGAGAUCAAGCAAAAGAAAACCCUAAAAUAAAAGAGGUUUAGAGAAGAGAGUGAGAGAGGGGGAGGAAUGGGGAGAGAGAAAUGAGGCCAUGGAAGGAGAUCAGGGGAGAAGGCUUUUUAGCAGUUAGCAGUGCAAUGGAGAGAGAAGAGAGUGCAUGCAAAGCAACAGAUGCAUAAAAUGCAUGCACGACACUUGAACACACGCCGCUCCUCUCCUUCACCGUAACAACCUCUCUUAACAGUCUUUUUUCUUUUUCUUUUUCUUUUUCUUUGUUUUUCUUUUUUCUUCUUCUUCUCUUUUCUUUUCUUUUCCUUUCUUCUCUUUUUCUCUUUUGAUCUGUUUUGUUUUUGCUAAUGUUUUUCAUACACUCUUACCCUCAGCCCUCCCACACACACGCACCCACACGCACCGUCUCACCAAACUUCCCCUAUUACUUCUUUUAAGUUGCCGACACGUACAUCCACGGCAGUUAUUUUUAAAUCAACUGUCUACGGUAACACAUCAACAACUAUUUUGGGUGUGACACCAUCCCAAUCUCUCUAAGUUUCCUUUUUUUAAAAUAAAUAAAUAAACGUCCAAGGCUAUGGCUGGAACAGUUGUCCACCCAUACCUCACCACCCCACCCCCCACGCCCACUGUAUUUCUACCAUUUCUCUCUCUAUUUUAAUUAUUAUAUACAAUUUUUCUUUUAAGUAAGAUGAGGCCAAUUAUGAACAUUUGGAAUAAUGGUCACUAAAAUAAUAAUUAAAUUGCAUCUAAACUCUUUCUUCUUUUUUAAUUACCCUCAUAUUCAUUUUAUUCAACGCUGGAAAAGGGAGCUAUCAUACAGACUAUAAUUCCGUGAUAUUGUAUUAUUGUUGACUUUAUCGAAAGUUAUGCCUUAUGUAUUUAAUGCCACAUCAACGCUAUUUUCCCCUGACGAGAUGAAAUUAGUUUUCAGUCUUUUGAUUUUUAGUUCUUACUUUCUAGAAAACCAAAAAAGUUUAAAGUUUUUCCACCAAUAAAAUAAAACAAUAGUUUUUCAAAACUUUUUUUAAAAGAUAAUUUAUUAUAAAUAUUAAAACUGUUUAAAAUAACUUACAAAAUAUAACAAUUUUUUUUAUAGUAUUUAAAAUUUAUUAAUAUCUUCCUUCAUGUUACUCUAUUUAAAAAUGCUCUUUUUAAUGUGUGUUGUUCUUUUUAUUAAAAGAAUGGUUGUAGUAAUAAUUAAAAGUCUUUCAUCAAAUGGUUCUCUCUCAUUCUAGAAAUAACCAUGUUCAAACAAAUUUAAUUUUUUUAAUUCAACUAUUUUAUUUAUAUUCAUUUCAAAAUAGUGUGAGUACAAUAUUUAAUGUUUGAUAAUUUUAUUUUCUAUCGAAAAACAAACUUUAAUCGCUAAAGUUGAUGACCUUUCUAUAUGAUAGACAUUUUAUUCUUGUUGAUCUUUUUGGAUGAUCGGCCUUUUAAACAUUGAUUGAUCAACUUGGAUCAACAUUUGACUUGUUGAUUAACUUGAAUCGAUUUUUAACUCGUUAAUUAGUUCAUAUGAUUUUUAAUUUGGUUUGUUGAUUGACUAAGAUUAACUUUGACUUUAUUAGGUUGGAUUGGCCUAUGGCUUGUCGAUCGACUUGAAUCUACUUCUAGCUCUCGUUGAUUAGCUUGGGUUGGUUUUUGGCAUGUUGAUCACUUGGG
rnacentral:lncRNA from 1 species